rnacentral:lncRNA from 1 species
CGCGCCCGAGCCUCGCGUCAGCACCACGGCCAGCUCCAGGUUCCGCGCCGCCGUUGGGGGCGGGCCUCCGGGCACCCGCGCGCACCACCAGCCUCGGCUCCGCCGCGCUUGGGAGGGCGGUGACCGGAGGACGCUGGCGAGUAGCGGAGGAGCGAGGAGACUUAGCCGCCACUGCGCCGCCGCCACACAGAAUUGCUGGCUUUGUUCUAGCUCUCUCCCUCUGCCCACCUAGCUGCUCCCAUAAUGCUGUGGGUUUUGCAUCCCUAAACCCCUUUGGUCCUCAGUCCGGGGGUCCCCGUAUACCCGGAGACUACAGGUGUGGGUCCCCCGCCCUCCUGAAUCCCGCAGGUCCAGGACCCGCUGACUCCAGCUCUUUCCAAAAGACGAUGUCACACACAGCCUCUCUAGCAGUCUUACUGAAGAUUCAGGAUUCUAAGGCUUGGAAGAAUGAGCAAGUCAAUGUGGGGAGGAAGAAAAUCAUAAAUUAAAAGAGACAUUUCCUUUCCACGC